rnacentral:rRNA from 1 species
AUACGGAGGGUGCAAGCGUUAUCCGGAAUCAUUGGGUUUAAAGGGUCCGUAGGCGGGCUAAUAAGUCAGGGGUGAAGUCCCACAGCUUAACUGUGGAACUGCCCUUGAUACCGUUGGUCUUGAGUUACAGUGAAGUGGUUAGAAUGUGUAGUGUAGCGGUGAAAUGCAUAGAGAUUACACAGAAUACCGAUUGCGAAGGCAGAUCACUAACUGUAUACUGACGCUAAUGGACGAAAGCGUGGGGAGCGAACAGGAUUAGAUACCCCAGUAGUCC